AACGAGAAAAGCCAAACCUAUCGCGAGGUAGGGACGGAAAGCUGCAGGUCUCAUUCCAUUGAGAUGGCUGAGCCGCCUCA
rnacentral:ncRNA from 1 species